UGUUGAUGCUAAUCAGCGCUAUCGAGCCCGGAAGGUGUCCAUUGCGGGCGCCGACGAAGAAGAUGCGCGACGAGCUAAAGAUGCUACUGUGCAAGGUGCCCAAAGCGGAAAUAGCCACCAGCAACUGAAUGACCCAGUCAUCAAGGACUCAUCGCGGUUGGAAAUAACUGUGUUGGACAAACCACUGCGACGGCGGAGGAAUCUAAUAUCUCUUCGGGCGUUAACACGAUCAAGUAAGCCACGUUGGUCAUGACGUACACAACCGUGAUGAUGGGCAUCGAGAUCAAUAUAGCCCGCGGAAGAUUUCUAAAUUUAAAAAUUACGUAACAAAAUUCAUUUUCGAUUAAAAAUAAUAAUACUUGUUUGGUUCCCGCACUUCUUCGGCGACGAAAUUCAAACAAUUCCUGCAUUGCGCAAUAAUAAACGAAUAUGGAUGAGAAAAUU